GACGAACGCUGGCGGCGUGCCUAAUACAUGCAAGUCGAACGCAGUGGGGACGGGUGAGUAACACGUGGGUAACCUCCCAUCAGAGGGGAUAACACUUGGAAACAGGUGCUAAACCGAUACUGAUGGAUGGACCCGCGGUGCAUUAGCUAGUUGGUGAGGUAACGGCUCACCAAGGCCACGAUGCAUAGCCGAUCUGAGAGGGUGAUCGGCCACACUGGGACUGAGACACGGCCCAGACUCCUACGGGAGGCAGCAGUGGGGAAUCUUCGGCAAUGGACGAAAGUCUGACAGAGCAACGCCGCGUGAGUGAAGAAGGUUUUAGGAUCGUAAAGCACUGUUGGUAGAGAAGCGGUAUCUAACCAGAAAGCCACGGCUAACUACGUGCCAGCAGCCGCGGUAAUUC
rnacentral:rRNA from 1 species